GAAAUCAAGGCGAUUGCGCAUUAACAUGUGAGGAAAGUCCGGGCACCAAAAAGACGCGCUCCAGCUAACUGCUGGCUGUCGUAAGGCAAGGGAAAGUGGCACAGAAACUAAACCGCCCUGAGUUAAUCGAAGGGUAAGGAUGAAAAGAGUGGGGUAAGAGCCCACAACUUUCUCAGUAAUGAGAAUUGGAAGCUAAACCCAGUGUGGUGCAAGUUGAGUGGGUCGUUACAAAAUUAGUUCAUUGGUUCGCCAGCGCGAGCAAACGAGCUUCCGCUUAGUCUUUAAGUAUUGUAACGAUCUCAACGCUUAGAGAAAUAAUCGCUAUCCGCCAGCUGGCGGAACAGAACCCGGCUUAAUGAUUUCCAAA
rnacentral:RNase_P_RNA from 1 species